UACGGAGGGGGCUAGCGUUGUUCGGAAUUACUGGGCGUAAAGCGCACGUAGGCGGCUUUGCAAGUUAGAGGUGAAAGCCCGGGGCUCAACUCGGAAUUGCCUUUAAAACUGCAUCGCUAGAAUUGUGGAGAGGUAAGUGGAAUUCCGAGUGUAGAGGUGAAAUUCGUAGAUAUUCGGAAGAACACCAGUGGCGAAGGCGGCUUGCCAGAAUGCGCUCGACGGUGAGGAUGAAAGCUGGGGGAGCAAACCGG
rnacentral:rRNA from 1 species